rnacentral:hammerhead_ribozyme from 1 species
AUUCAGAUGACGAGUCCCAAAUAGAACGAAAUGCACGUCCUAGAU